AUGGGCGCCAUCCGGGCGGCGGCGAUGGUGACGAAGUUGAUGAAGCCGGAGGCGGUGGUGUUGAUGGAGGGAAUCAGGUGCCUCCACAACGAUGUUGUGAUGGAGCUCAUGUGGGGUCUCAAGCAUCUCUUGGAAUACUUUGUGCCUGAAGAGAAAGAGUCUGAUCUCACCGGGGAACACAACAUCCACAUGAGCAAGGGACUGGAUAUCCUGCUACGGCGUAAUGGAUUCCAUCAUGUCCAACCAAACAUGGUUACGAAGUGCGUUGUCAAUCUGGCCCUCACAUUGUUCCAUUGUGAUUAUGAUGCUGAUUACUACUCCGACCACGCGAGCUAUCUUACUAACCUCCUUAUGGAGGUUUCUGACAUCGACUGUCGCGGUUGGGAUCCCCUGAAACGCGCAACAGCUUUCAAAAUUAUAUGUUUGCCACGGGAAAGAAAACAUCUACUUACUCAACCAGAUAUGAUGUUCACACAGGAUGAGGCAUCAAGGCUGCAAGCUGCUCAGCCAGCUCAAUACGACGGUCGGAUGAAUGUGCCAACUAUCUUAUAUCUCUACAAGACCGCCCUAUCUCUGAUGCGAGCGCGGAGAGACUUGGGGGUUUCCCUUGGGAUAUCCACCGAGAAGCCAUUCGGCUGGUCUGAGUUAGCAGACAAUGUCUUACGAUUUGUACUAUACCUCAUCAGCGCUGCAGUUACAUGUAGCAAGCUAUCCACAUCAUCAUUGUUGCCACAUCAGCUCCCACUACUGAAUUUUCUGACAUAUGCUGAAGCCACAUCAUUCAUUAUUGUCAUUGUUUCACAUGGAGUGUCUUACGAUUUGUACUAUCCCUCAUCAGCGCUGCAGUUACAUGUAGAUUUGUCCUUUCGUCUCUCACAGCACUACGUGCAUGUAGACAAAACCGGCGAGGCAGACGACCAGUCGGCUACGUACAGGCAGCGGGGCACCCUCCAGCAUGCAGGUUUGUCCCUUCCUCUCCUCUCGGCACUAGGUGCAGUGCAUGCACACAAGGAAAAGCCCGUUCAUAGCUCUACUAUUCUUCCGGCUGCCCCCUUCUCCACACCCAACUUUACUUCCUCCGAGAGUCGUAGCCAACGCAGCAGUCUUGCCGACAUCGUGUUCCGAUCUGUCGUUCAAGCCAAGAAGCUGAAGUGUUUAUCGUGCUGUCGGCGCUGUCGUCAUCAUCUGUUCAAGCUAACUCAGCCCAUCACCGUUUUUCUUGAAUUCACUCAGAAGCCAACGUACAACCUGCGUCACUGCAUGGAUACUACUCCGUAUGGUUGGAAGGGUUAUUUCCGUUCUGGCUGUAUUGGCUGA
rnacentral:rRNA from 1 species